rnacentral:rRNA from 1 species
UACGUAGGGUGCAAGCGUUGUCCGGAAUUAUUGGGCGUAAAGAGCUCGUAGGCGGUUCGUCGCGUCGGCUGUGAAAACCCGGAGCUCAACUCCGGGCCUGCAGUCGAUACGGGCGGACUCGAGUUCGGCAGGGGAGACUGGAAUUCCUGGUGUAGCGGUGAAAUGCGCAGAUAUCAGGAGGAACACCGGUGGCGAAGGCGGGUCUCUGGACCGAUGACUGACGCUGAGGCGCGAAAGCGUGGGGAGCAAACAGG